UGCUGAGAUAGCCAUUAGACUUGUUAGUAAUGAUUGCUUUCAUAUUAUUCAACCAAAGAUAUUUGAUGUUUGAAAUGUGUUAGUAAAUGAACAUUCAUCUAGAUGAACAUUCAUCUAGACAUAGAGCUUGUUUAGAACUGUGUCUAAGCUUAAGGUUGAUAGUUUGAUUGAUCGUUUGCCAUCCUUAGUUCGAAACUUGAUCACCCAAGGUCUAAUCUCUAUGCCCAUGAGUUCUCUUUUCCCUUAGUCAAGAAAGUUAC
rnacentral:lncRNA from 1 species